UAACAAAUUAUCUUAUCUAUAUAUCGCUGUAAUAUGGUCAGCAGUCUCUACCCGGGGCCGUAAAUCCCGGACUAUAGGUACUAGA
rnacentral:ncRNA from 1 species